rnacentral:rRNA from 1 species
GAUGAACGCUGGCGGCGUGCCUAAUACAUGCAAGUCGAGCGAACAGACGAGGAGCUUGCUCCUCUGACGUUAGCGGCGGACGGGUGAGUAACACGUGGAUAACCUACCUAUAGGACUGGGAUAACUUCGGGAAACCGGAGCUAAUACCGGAUAAUAUAUUGAACCGCAUGGUUCAAUAGUGAAAGACGGUUUUGCUGUCACUUAUAGAUGGAUCCGCGCCGCAUUAGCUAGUUGGUAGGGUAACGGCUUACCAAGGCAACGAUGCGUAGCCGACCUGAGAGGGUGAUCGGCCACACUGGAACUGAGACACGGUCCAGACUCCUACGGGAGGCAGCAGUAGGGAAUCUUCCGCAAUGGGCGAAAGCCUGACGGAGCAACGCCGCGUGAGUGAUGAAGGUCUUCGGAUCGUAAAACUCUGUUAUUAGGGAAGAACAAAUGUGUAAGUAACUAUGCACGUCUUGACGGUACCUAAUCAGAAAGCCACGGCUAACUACGUG